ensembl:misc_RNA Metazoa_SRP Metazoan signal recognition particle RNA
GCCGGGUGCGUUGGCAUGUGCCUGUAAUCCAAGUCACUGGGAGGCUGAGGUUGGUGGAUCAAGUGAGCUGAGGAGCUCUGGGCUGCAGCACGCUAUGUCGAAUGGGUGUCCACGCCAAGUUCGGUAUCGAUAUGGUGUUCCUGGGGGAGCCCGGGACCACCAGGUUGUCUAAGGAGGGGUGAACCGGCCCAGGUCGGAAACGAAGCAGGUCAAAUCCCCCGUGCUGUCCAGUAGUGGGAUAAUACCUGUGAGUAGAUGCUGCAGUGCAGUCUUGGCAAAACAUCGAGACCUAAUCUUUU